rnacentral:rRNA from 1 species
GAAAAUAGCAAUUCCGGUUAACGGAAGCAUUUAUUAGACUUAGCCAACGGCCCUUGGUUCUGUCAAAGGAAUCAAAGGUUAAGGUGAACCUGAAUAACUGUGCAUAUCGGCACUUGUGCCGAUAGUUCGAUCGAAUUUCUGCCCUAUCAACUAGUUGGUGAGGUCUUGGCUCACAAAGGUUGUAACGGGUAACGGGGAAUCAGGGUUCGAUUCCGGAGAGGGAGCCUGAGAAACGGCUACCACAUCUAAGGAAGGCAGCAGGCGCGCAAAUUACCCAAUCCAGAAUUUGGGAGGUAGUGACGAGAAAUACCGGAGUUGAUCAUAAUGGUUAACUAUCGGAAUGAACGUAAUUUAGUACUUUCGAUGAGUAGCUACUGGAGGGCAAGUCUGGUGCCAGCAGCCGCGGUAAUUCCAGCUCCAGUAGUGUAUAUCAAUGUUGUUGCGGUUNAAACGCUCGUAGUUGGAUUACAAAAGCUCGAUGGGGCCGCAGCUCAAGUGGUUGCGGCGUCGUGGGGNUUUUUUAUCGCGAGAGCCGCGUGUGGGAUUAAUUUCUUGUACGCGGUCACUUGCGGAGUGUGCCUUGAAUAAAGCACAGUGCUCAAAGCAGGCGUACGCUCGAAUGUUAUAGCAUGGAACGAAUAUUUUGACCAGGUCGAUUGUUGGUUGUUGACAGGGUCUCGAUUAAAAGGAACAUUUGAGGGCGUUGGUACUUGGUGGCGAGAGGUGAAAUUCUUAGACCCACCAAAGACUCACAAAUGCGAAAGCAUUCGCCAAGAGUGUUUUCAUUAAUCAAGAACGAAAGUCAGAGGUUCGAAGACGAUCAGAUACCGUCGUAGUUCUGACAGUAAACGAUGCCAACCUGGGGUUAGUUUGUUUCUAAAUAAGUUGGUCCCUCGGUGAAAACUAGUUUUUCGGUUCCGGGGAGAGUAUUCACGCAAGUGAAAAAUUUAAAGAAAUUGACGGAAUGGCACCACCAGGAGUGGAGCCUGCGGCUUAAUUUGACUCAACACGGGGAAACUCACCAGGUCCAGACAUUGACAGGAUUGACAGACUGAGAGAUCUUUCAUGAUACGAUGAUUGGUGGUGCAUGGCCGUUCUUAGUUGGUGGAGUGAUCUGUCAGGUUUAUUCCGGUAACGAACGAGACCACGAUCUCUAAUUGAAACGGUCAUUUUGUUUUGGCCAAUCUUAGAGAGACAACCGGAUUCAAGCCGGGGGAAGCGUGGCAAUAACAGGUCUGUGAUGCCCUUCGAUGUUCUGGGCUGCACGCGCGCUACAAUGGCAGUGACAACGAGUGCCUGCUCUGAGAGGAGUGGGAAAUCUUGGAAAUCGCUGUCGUGAUUGGGAUUGAGCCCUGUAAUAA